GCCCAGUGACUCUUUCAACGGCCGCGGUAUCCUAACCGUGCAAAGGUAGCAUAAUCACUUGUCCUAUAAAUAAGGACUAGAAUGAAUGGUCACAUGAGGAUCGAACUGUCUCUUGCACUCGACCAAUAAACCUGAUCUUUUAGUCCAAAAGCUAAAAUAAACCCAUAAGACGAGAAGACCCUGUGGAGCUUAAAACCAAACCCAGCCCAACUGGCCCCUUGGUUUUUAGUUGGGGCAACUCCGGAGAACAAAAAUCCUCCGGCAUGGACC
rnacentral:rRNA from 1 species